UACAGAGGUCCCAAGCGUUGUUCGGAUUCAUUGGGCGUAAAGGGUGCGUAGGCGGCGCGGUAAGUCGGGUGUGAAAUCUCGGAGCUUAACUCCGAAACUGCAUUCGAUACUGCCGUGCUUGAGGACUGGAGAGGAGACUGGAAUUUACGGUGUAGCGGUGAAAUGCGUAGAUAUCGUAGGGAGACCAGUGGCGGAAGGCGGGUCUCUGGACAGUUCCUGACGCUGAGGCACGAAGGCCAGGGGAGCAAACGGG
rnacentral:rRNA from 1 species